rnacentral:siRNA from 1 species
UAAUUAUAAUAUGGUUGCUAC